UUACAGGCGGGAGCCACUGCGACCGGCCUGAGAUACAGUUGGAUCACAAGGACGAGUCAUAAGUUUUGAGGUACGAAAAGACCACCAUGAUCUGGCUAAGAAGAAUUACAAACACUGGCGUGAUUCAUGGAAAUUAAGUCAUGUAGAAGAGUGGCCAGACAAUGUGGAUUUUAUUCAUAAGGACAUUUCAGGAGCAACCGAAGACAUAAAAUCUUUAACAUUUGACGCAGUAGCUUUGGAUAUGUUAAAUCCUCAUGUUACUUUGCCUGUUUUUUACCCACAUCUUAAGCAUGGUGGUGUAUGUGCUGUAUAUGUAGUAAACAUCACACAGGUUAUUGAACUUUUAGAUGG
rnacentral:lncRNA from 1 species